rnacentral:rRNA from 1 species
GACGAACCGUGCGAACGUUAUUCGGAAUCACUGGGCUUAAAGGGCGCGUAGGCGGGCCGCCCGGUCCGGGGUGAAAUCCUCCAGCUCAACUGGAGAAGUGCCUUGGAUACCGGCGGCCUCGAGGGAGGCAGGGGCGUGCGGAACUUCGGGUGGAGCGGUGAAAUGCGUAGAUAUCACUUGGAACGCCAAUGGUGAAGACAGCUCGCUGGGGGUGUCCUGACGCUGAGGCGCGAAAGCCAGGGGAGCGAACGGG